rfam:Triticum urartu cultivar G1812 contig133510, whole genome shotgun sequence.
CAUAUACUCCCUCCAUCCGAAAAAUCUUGUCCCAAGUUUGUUCCUCAAAUGAAUGUAUCUAGCACUAACUUGAUGCUACAUACAUCCAUUUGAAGGACAAGCCUUUUCGAAUGGAGAGAGUAGUAA